GGGGCGGGGCCGGGGGCAGAUCCGCGCGCGCCCGGGAGCCGGAUUUGGAGCGCGAGGCGCCGGCGGGGGCCGAGCGGAGCUUCCCGCGGCCUCGGACGCUCCUCCUAGCCAGCGGCCUCCGUCCGCCUCCGCCUGUGCCUCGAGCUCCUUCGCCCCGGCCCCGCCUGUCCCGGCCACCACUUCCGGCCGCUCACCUGGGACGCGCUCACCUGGGACGCGCUCACCUGCCUCUGGACUCUGGGCCACCAGGAUGAAGGACCGGCUGGAGCAGCUGAAGGCCAAGCAGCUGACUCAGGAUGACGAUGACAAUGAGGUCGAGAUUGCUAUCGACAACACGGCUUUCAUGGAUGAGUUCUUUUCUGAGAUUGAGGAUACUCGGCUCAACAUUGACAAGAUCUCAGAGCAUGUGGAGGAGGCUAAGAAACUGUACAGCAUCAUUCUCUCUGCACCAAUUCCAGAGCCAAAAACCAAGGAUGACCUGGAGCAGCUCACAGCUGAGAUCAAGAAAAGGGCCAACAGUGUCCGGAACAAGCUGAAGAGCAUGGAAAGGCAUAUUGAAGAAGAUGACGUCCGGUCUUCGGCAGACCUUCGGAUACGGAAAUCCCAGCACUCCGUCCUCUCCCGGAAGUUCGUGGAGGUGAUGACUAAAUACAAUGAGGCUCAGGUGGACUUCCGUGAACGCAGCAAAGGGCGAAUCCAGCGGCAGCUUGAAAUCACUGGCAAAAAGACAACAGAUGAGGAGCUGGAGGAGAUGUUGGAGAGUGGGAACCCUGCCAUCUUCACUUCUGGGAUCAUCGACUCCCAGAUUUCCAGGCAAGCCCUGAGCGAGAUUGAGGGGAGGCACAAGGACAUUGUGAGGCUGGAGAGCAGCAUCAAGGAGCUCCACGACAUGUUUAUGGACAUCGCCAUGUUGGUGGAGAAUCAGGGUGAGAUGUUAGAUAACAUAGAGUUGAAUGUUAUGCACACAGUGGACCACGUGGAGAAGGCACGGGAUGAGACAAAAAAAGCUGUGAAAUACCAGAGUCAGGCCCGGAAGGUGAGACUCUCCACUGUCUUCCAAGAACAAAGUGCAUUUUGCUUGCUGUCUCUUGCUCUUUCUGCCGUUCCUCUCUGUGUCUCUGUUCUCUGCUGUGACCAACCCUUGCAUCUGGGGGAAAGGGAGCCAUGAUUGACCGUAUUGAGAACAACAUGGACCAGUCAGUGGGCUUCGUGGAGCGGGCUGUAGCGGAUACCAAAAAGGCUGUCAAGUAUCAGAGUGAAGCCCGGAGGGUGAGCACUGAAGUCUCAGCUGGUCUGGCUUACGUCCUUCUCUCUCUGGUCAUCCCCACCUGUGUGCCCUUGACACUGUGCCUUCCCUCCCUGUCCUGGCCUCAUCCGAACCCCACAUGAGACUAGCUGCCCUUCCUGUCCAGGUGUGCCUUGUAUGGAUCUGGCUUACAUGCUUUCAACCCAAGAACCCACACCAGAAAGACAGUUCCACAGAACACAGCCUUGCCCAGAUAUUGCUGUUAAUCUCCUCCUGCAUACUACUCAGGAACAUUUCAGAUAUUACACUUGACUCUUCUAUUCUUUAGAAACUUUCUCUUGAUUGUCUCCCAAUAAGGCCUUUCUCCCCCUGCCCCUUUUACUCUGUCAUGUACCCAGCACGGUGCUAAUUGCUAUAUAAACAUUAUUUCUUUAUAAUGUUUUUUUUUGACAAAAUCUUUUUUACAAAAUCUUAUGAAGUAUCUGUUAUUUCUACAUUAUAGGUGAAUGAUUGAGGGUCAGAGGUUAAGUAAUUGGCUUCAGGCCACCUAUAGGUAUAGGAGCUGGGAUUCAAAUCCAGAUCCCAGUCUUGCUCUUUCCACUACCCCCCUGUAUUUGCCCAUCUUUCUGGUGUCCUUGUUGCUUAAGGACGUCAAAGCUUCUCUACUCAUUGACUGUGGGGAUCCAGCUCUGGUGGCUUCUGCUUUUGGGACUAUUCUUUGACUCUUCCUCCUGGGCUCUGGUAUUUUUGCUUUCCAGUUCAUUGUUUUUCUUCCAAUUUUACCUGUUGCUUAUGCGGGGAUUUAGGGAGCUGGGAAGUUAUUUUGCAUGGUGCAUCCAGGUUAGUUCACAACAGGACCAUAAUUGUGCUUUCUUAUACCCAGUCAGUAUCCUGAAGUAAUGGUAGGUGUGUACUUUAGGGGAGAGAUGGACAGAAAUGUGAAAUUAAAAUGUCUUUGCAUCCCUUUUGAAAGGGAAAAAUGAGUCAUUUUAUAUCCUGGCCAACUGCUGCUUGGAGAUCCCAGGAUAGUAUCUCUUACUGUACCUGUCGACAUAUGCAAGACUGCAGGGUGAGCUGCCAGCUGGUAGAUACAAAGUAAUUUAAGAAAUGUCAAAUAUCCUCAUAUAAUAUCUUAAUGUGGAGAUGUAGACAUCUUAUUUGGAGUGAUUAGAUGCUUUCCAGGUAGAGGUAAGAGGGGCUGGGUUUUUGGAUGAGUUAUUUUUUCUUUUUGGUCAUUUGUUAAUAAUGAUUUAUUUUUGUUUCUCAUAUUCUUCUCUCCAGAAAUUGAUAAUUAUCAUUGUGAUAGUGGUUGUGUUGCUGGGCAUUUUAGCGUUGAUUAUUGGACUUUCCGUUGGGCUGAACUAAGGGCAGCCUAAGAGGGUGCUGCACUAAAAUAACCUGAUUUUACUCCAGCCUGGCGUGGCCACCUUUGUCCUCAGAUGGAACUGGAGUUUGAAUGGCCUUCCUGAGCAUGAGUGGAACCUACUCCUUUGUUUCCUUGUAACUGUCUUUGGACCUGACCUAGCAAGCCGUGUAGCCCUGGAGGAAUCUAAUCUGCCUGAUGCAACCCUGAGUUCUCCUCAAAGCCUUCUCCUGCCCCACCAACUCUGAAGUAUCUUCUUUCCUGGAUUGUAGGAACUGACCCAGCUUCUCUUUCCUCCCUCGGGUGUGUCAAAUUAGCCCUUGCACCUUGGAGAGCUUGUCCGAGACCCUCCCAAGGUGCUGUAUUUUCUACCUCAUGGAGUGUUCUCCUAGAAAUUGCAAUAUAUAUAUAUUUUGAGGGGUAUCUUUAGCAAAUUGUGGGGAUUUUUCUGAGUUUGGCAACAAUAAGGCUUGAAUUUGAGUCUUUGCCUGGCAAGAUGCCAGUCCUUACAGUUUGUUGUCACUAUGUCCUGAAAACAUGAGGGACUGGCAAAUAUCAUUUUGGCUUGAGAAGCUGACUUCUUUGAAAUUGAAUCUGGAAUUAAGCUCUUGGUGUUCAGCUUGGAGGCCAAUCUCAAUCUUUGUCUAUGUUGUGUUCUCUCAAGGAGGGACUAGGAUGAUGCAGUCAUCUUAAGGUUGCCAUUUGCAAAGGCUGAGGAUGUGGGAUAUUUGUUUCCAUGUCUGAGUCUUGAAAACUGGCUGUUCCUUUAGAGAGUGAUGCCAUCGCUCUGAGGCCAAAAAUAACCAGAGACUUAAAAGUAGGCCAGGGACAAGGUACUUGAGACUUAGGCCGUGGAGAUAUUUCACACGAGUGGUGCAAGUAUUCAGUCACUCAUUUCAUAUGUUCCAGAUAUAUUUUUAUAAUUGUGUGUGUGUGUGUGUGUGUGUACAUAUAUGCAUUGUCUCAGGAAGUAGGAAACUAUAAGUGGAGAACAUUAUGACCUCAAAAAAAUAACCUUGAGAUAGGCUAAAAAUUAGAUAAAGGACAUGUGCCCACCUGCUAAUGAACCACAGUAGCUAUUUGAUUUUACCAUGUCAUCAAGAAAUCUGAUUUCUGGAUGAGUACUGGAAAUAUCAUAGAUCUUUGGGAUGAAGACUAAGUUGAUCCCCAUUUAGUUGUUCUGCUUAGCAGCUAGACGGUAUGAUGACACCUUGCUACCUGCUGUUUAGGCUAGGCUUGUCCUGAGAAUAUCCCACGGUAUUUGGUGUCAUUCAGGUGACUUAUGGGAUGUCCUAUGUCCAGGGUAGAGUAGUUUGGGGGAGACCAAAGACUACUGAGUGGCUUUUCCUGCUAUCAGGCUAAUGAGCUUGACAGUUUCUCUGUCUCCCCCAAAUCAUACUGUGGAGGAAGCAAAAGGCUUGGAAAUUUUCAAGUGUAGUGACUGUGUUGACCCAGUGGUAAGCCCCUUAUAUUCCCUGCUGGUCUCUGCCAGUCUCCCUCAUUUGGGGUACCAGGUAUAUUUCAGCUUUGACUUUAAUGCUUUCUAGGAGAGGGUGAACACCCUAAUCCAGGCACUUCCCAUUAGCUUCCUUUUCAAGGGCUACCCUUCCCAGUCAUGCCCAGCAUUCUGACAGAGCCAAGGAGAUGCCUUUCUUGCCCAAGGCUAUGAUGUCAGACAGUGAAUUGGCCCUAGCAACAAGGGGAGACAAGCUCUAAUCACGGGCUUUUGAUCUCCUCUGAGAUGGAGGCCUGGGGCUUAUGUUUUGGAACAUGAUGUGUGAAGGAUUUUGUUGUUGUUUGUUAUUUUUUUAAAAAUGUAAACUUGAUUAUUUUAUUUCUAAUUUAAAAAUAAAUGACUUUAUAUUGAUUGUGAAACAGUUCUGGCUCUGUCUCCCUGCAAUACACUUAGUGAUUGGGUGCCACCAUGUGGUGGUUUUGUUCAGGUUUAGGGAGGGAAUUAAAAUCUUUCUAACCAUGUGCUGGACCAAAUGGGUCAAAAGUGGUCUAAUCUUUAAAAGUGGCUUAAUUCUGAAAGAAUUCAUUAUAAUGAUAUCUUGAGUUUCAGAUUUGGGGAGCUCCCCCAAGUAAUUUGGUUCACUCACUGAAUGAGUAUUUGGCUCAAGAAGGAAAUGGGGGACUUCUGUUGUGAUGGUAUCUGGGAAGGCAGAACAACAUACUACAUCCCGAGGUUCCUGUUGAUUUGAUUUUUCACUCACUCACCUGAAAAGAAUAUUUUGAUUACAUUCUGGGUUCUAGAAGCCAAAUCCAUCUUCCUUUUCCUUCUGAUGCUCCCUUUUUCUCCAUAUACUCUUCUUUGUCCAGAUCCUGUUCUGUCUCCCUUCCUUUGGAACUUGAUAACUGCAUAGUGAUGUUGCUUCUCAUAAUGCCUUUUCUUUUCUUGUCUGGAUGAGCAGAAGAAGAUCAUGAUCAUGAUCUGCUGUGUUAUCCUUGCGAUCAUCUUAGCCUCUACCAUUGGAGGCAUAUUUGCCUAAGAAAGGUGAGCCGUCUCUGGGGAGGGCCAAAUCUGCUAUUAGAAACUUGUGUAUAUCUUGGAAUCAUUCAUUGUCACCAGGUGCCCUAAACUGGGUGGGAUUAGGUGCUGGAAGAAAUAUAAGUUGGAAAAAUUAAGGAAAGGGACAUUUCAUAGAGAGAAAAAUGAGUUGGUAGUAAGUAGAUGGGGAGAGACAAAUGUGACAAUCUGGUCCAUGAUCAGGUCUGCUAGCAGAAUGCUUUGUACAGGUCAGGAAUGUCAAUUUCCUGCUGCAGAACUUGGGCCUUGGUAUCUGGGAAUGGCAAAAGGAGUAAGAAUUAGUUCUUCCUCUUUGGAAGAGGGCCAACUGUAGACCCAAAGUAAAUACAUUUCCUCUUUUGCAAGGUCAGGACAAGUCCUGCAGAAGAGGGACUGGUGAUGCUGACCUUGAUCACCACACUAUGUGAUCUAUGAUUUUUUUUUUUUCCUCCAUUCUAUUCUUUCCCCAGCCCUGAGAUGGAUCCUCAACUGGCAUUUCUAAUCCUUCUUGCACCUCUGUGGUGCCAUCACUUCUCCACUGCAGAUUCCUCAACAGCUAUUCCUCUUCAGUCUUUCAUGACACAGGGCAAUAAUCAACUACCCAUUAAAAAUUAUUGCCUAUUAAAAGAACAGGCUUGUGAAAAUACAUAAUUUGGUGGGGGUCAGGGAGCUCAGCUAUAUAAAGCUGACUAGACUGAUGGAUUCAAAGAAGAAACUGCAAGGCAGAGAAGAAAACAAAUGAUGAGUACCUGUUCAGGAAAUGAAACUUAAGGCCUGCUAUACCUUAAGCCAAGGUAUAACUGUGAAGAGUCAGGUAUUGUUAUCACACCCAGUUCAAUAGGAUCUUAUUUUAACUGCUAUAAAUUGAUCAGUAAGAUCAAGAUACUUGUUGCUUCUGCUUUUAACUCUCUUUCUAGGACUCACACCUAAUCAACCCUACAUCUACUUCCUUCUUCCGGGUUCAAUAGCAGUCUUAGAGUGAAGAGUAUCUAAGCAGCAGCAGCCUGCCUGUUUUGUACACUGCUGUAUCCCCAAUACUUUAGCACAGUGCCUGCCACUUACUAGUCCUCAAUAAACAUGUGAGAAUUUAAUUACCUAAAAUUAUACUUAAACUCUGAUUUCACCCAUGGAAAAGUCCUUGGAUUUGACUCAAAUCCUUUAAGUCAUCAUUGGUGGAAUGGUUUUUUUUAGGCUGUGUAAAGCUGCCUGGGAAUGGAUUGACCCAUUUAUGUAAAAAUGCUACAACAGGUCUCCUAGCCCCCACAAUUACCACAACAUAUAUUUUAAAGUGCUUUUUCUAUGGGUGGUGGUGGAGUUCUACUGUCUAUUGAUAUCUUCUCACUCAGUGAUGGCUGGAUUCAGGAUUGAGGUUCAGUAACUAAAUCCAGAGACCAAAGGUUUAUACUAUGAUUUAGCUUGCAAGUCAUCAGUACACUUUAUAACACAGAUACACUAUGAACCAUAACAAAGACUAGAUUAAGAUAUUAGGUGAGAAAGGGUUUGGCAAAAUGAGGUAUAUCGCUUAUGUUACUUAUCUGAUUCAUGCUGCUAGCUCAAACUGACUUUGUUGGCCAAUAAUUUGUGUCAAGAAACUGUUCCAAAUAUUGCCCCCAAGUCAAGGUUUAGGUGUGUGCAACUUUAAAGCCAUGUGAAUAUAAGCUUUAAUAAAAAUAACUUACUAGUGAUUAGUUACAUUACAACUCUUGAGGACCACACAACUGUUUAGAUAAAUUGUACCUCUGAGAGUAAAUUAAAUUCUUAUUUUGCCAGAGAUCUUAUUUUUUAAGAAAGUGAAAAUGGGUUAAGAAAAAUUACAUUUUAGUCAGUGUGCUUUCUACCCAUUUUCUUUCAGAAGUAAAUGGUUUAAUAUUUUUAUCAACUUGUAUUUCCUUUAUUUUGAAUAGGGGAUAAAGACUACUGCUAGGCACUUCAGAAAAACAGAUUAAUCUUGUUAAAGGGAAACAAGGACCAUGGGUAUUUGAAUCACACAGGGCCCUCAUUCAUCCACCAGUAGAGUGCUGUGCGAUAAUAUGGACUGCACUAGAUCCUUCAGGGACACAAAGACAGAACCAAACACUCACUAUCUUCAAAGAACUUCAGACUUAAGAAAGGCCACACAAUUUCAAUUCUUCUUUUUAUUAGUUCUUUUUGUUAAAAGGUAAAGAAUGUUGUCCAACAUCCCUCACUUCAAGAUUGUGAGAAGAUGGAUAGCUGGGCAUCAAUAAAUAUGUUGAAUCGGUUAACCUA